GUAACCUCUGCCAACUUCGAAAACAACUGAAAUAAAUGGAAACCUUUUUGGUACCUUUUUUUUCCAGGCAACAGGGCAGGUGCUUGAGCCUAGCAGCUAUGUGUGCACAUGUCUAACUUAAUACCCGUUUGGAGAGUUACAUGUCCCAAAUCAACCUGAAAGAUUGAGACUCUCCAAAGCUGGUCCAACAAGACCUUCGACCUCCGUGAGCCGGUUCACUGCCAUACUCAGCCACUGGAGGUAGACCAGCUGAGAAAAGAAAAGGCCUUGCCUUGAGCCAAAGAAGCUGUGUGAGGGAUGACAGAGGCGAAAGGUCAGAAAUGCGGUUGUUGGACACGUCCAUGAACCGAAGGUGAAUGUAAUUGCUGAUCGCAGCCAUGUCACUGAGUCUUCUAUCGAGUACAAGCACGAAAAUAGGAGGUUUAGGACUGAACAAAUGUGCUAUUGUUGUUCAUUUUGCUUUCAUACUUGUCCUUUAGGACGACUUUAAUGAACGCAUGUCUUAAUCCAUUUCCUGUUCGGCACAGCAAAGACAGACCGGGAAUUAUAAUAUCUUGAUCCAAAGGGCGAACCUGUGAAUGAAACAAAGGAAAGGGAUGCCACACAGAUUUCAAGGGGAAAGUCACACUGAACAACUUAUUAACAAUUUGUAGCUCAGUCAUGGAAUUAACGGGCCCAAACCUGCUUAAAACCCGUCACAUUUACUAAAGGAAUUUCAUAUUUCAUGAAACAUACAGACAUGUUGACUUGGACAGUUGAUAGAGAUAGAGAAGGGAAGGGAACUGCUUGAAAGGCAAUACUUGUAGGGAGGUCAUCUACAGUUUUACACAUGACGCUAAUUUCAUAUUUAAGAAGCAAACAUGGGUGCGUAGUGUCCAAUGUGCAUUUCCACUCAUGAUCCAUUUGUUAACCGCUUAUCACAGGGAAGAAGGUGUCCCAAAAGGCCAAAAAGAUGUCUACAUCCUGGUCCCACGCUAUUUAGGCUGUAGUUAGGGAGGCAUGUGUGUCUAUUGUGGUGUAUCUCCGGUUUUGGUCAAUAAAGAGAACUUCGUUGACAGCCAGCUCGCAAAUGUCAGAU